CCUACGGGUGGCAGCAGUGAGGAAUAUUGGUCAAUGGACGCAAGUCUGAACCAGCCAUGCCGCGUGCAGGAAGACGGCUCAAUGAGUUGUAAACUGCUUUUGUACGAGGGUAAACGCAGAUACGCGUAUCUGUCUGAAAGUAUCGUACGAAUAAGCAUCGGCUAACUCCGUGCCAGCAGCCGCGGUAAUACGGAGGAUUCAAGCGUUAUCCGGAUUUAUUGGGUUUAAAGGGUGCGUAGGCGGUCGGAUAAGUUAGAGGUGAAAGCCCGGGGCUCAACUUCGGAAUUGCCUCUGAUACUGGUAGGCUAGAGAGGAGGUGCGGUAGGCGGAAUGUAUGGUGUAGCGGUGAAAUGCUUAGAGAUCAUACAGAACACCGAUUGCGAAGGCAGCAUACCAGGUUACUUCUGACGCUGAGGCACGAAAGCGUGGGGAGCGAACAGGAUUAGAUACCCCAGUAGUC
rnacentral:rRNA from 1 species